rnacentral:rRNA from 1 species
AUUGAACGCUGGCGGCAUGAUUUACACAUGCAAGUCGAACGGUAACAGGCCGCAAGGUGCUGACGAGUGGCGAACGGGUGAGUAAUGCAUCGGAACGUGCCCAGUCGUGGGGGAUAACUACUCGAAAGAGUAGCUAAUAUCGCAUACGAUCUAUGGAUGAAAGCGGGGGACCGUAAGGCCUCGCGCGAUUGGAGCGGCCGAUGUCAGCUUAGGUAGUUGGUGGGGUAAAGGCUCACCAAGCCAACGAUCUGUAGCUGGUCUGAGAGGACGACCAGCCACACUGGGACUGAGACACGGCCCAGACUCCUACGGGAGGCAGCAGUGGGGAAUUUUGGACAAUGGGCGCAAGCCUGAUCCAGCAAUGCCGCGUGCAGGAAGAAGGCCUUCGGGUUGUAAACUGCUUUUGUACGGAACGAAACGGCUCUGGUUAAUACCCGGGGCUAAUGACGGUACCGUAAGAAUAAGCACCGGCUAACUACGUG